rnacentral:sRNA from 1 species
CUUAAGUAGAAUUAUUUUUGUUCGGUUAGUAAUAAGAGUGUUUAAGUUUUUCGCCUUAGAUAUCUAAAAGAGCAAUAAUAGUAUCAAAAUUAUGAAUCGGUUUGAUUCAUGCAGGAGGUAACAACCAUGCAAGAAGGUACAGUAAAAUGGUUUAACGCAGAAAAAGGUUUCGGUUUCAUCGAAGUUGAAGGUGGAGACGAUGUAUUCGUACAUUUCUCAGCUAUCCAAGGCGAAGGAUUUAAAUCUUUAGACGAAGGUCAAAAAGUAACAUUCGAUACUGAGCAAGGCCAACGUGGUCUUCAAGCUACUAACGUAUCAAAAGCAUAAUGAUAAAAGGACUCAAAUUUUUGAGUCCUUUUUCU